rnacentral:rRNA from 1 species
CCCUUAGAUGUCCUGGGCCGCACGCGCGCUACACUGAGUGUCUGAGAUACGAGUCUGCCUAGCCGGCGAGGUCUAGGUAAUCGCUGAAAGACACAUCAUCCUUGGGAUAGAUUAUUGCAGAUAUUAAUCUUGAACGAGGAAUUCCUAGUAAGCGCAAGUCAACAGCUUGCGUUGAUUACGUCCCUGCCCUUUGUGCACACCGCCCGUCGCUACUACUAAUUGGAUGUUUAAGCGAGGUUCUCGAACUGCUAGCGACUUAGCUUCGGUGAGGUCGCCGUGUGGGAAGUGAACCUAGCUUUGGUGUCUAGAGGAAGUAAAAGUCGUAUCA